rnacentral:lncRNA from 1 species
AAGAUGUGUAUAAUUUGCAAUUGCCACCAUUUUUCAACCCAAGAACCCUUCCUUCAAAACCACAGGACGCGAUAAACUCUCACAUCCUAAACCAGUCUCCUCGGCUGCAUUCUCACGAAUCUCUCCACACCAGGUCUUUUAAUACUUCCUAUGUUCAUAUUUCAAGGAUUGUGCGUCUACGAUUUCUUCCCUGCAGCCUCCCCAGUCUGUCAGCACCUACCCACCGCCUCCCAAGCCUCAGCCCCUUAUUCAGACUGGAUGACAAACACCUGACCUGAGUCACCUGUGAGGGUGUAAGGGCAGCUGCAGGUUGUUCUAUUUACCAAUAAAGACCCAGGAAUCAGAUCACAGAAACUAAGAAGCAACCAGCUGACCUUCCUUUUUGGCUGGAGACCCAGCAAGACAGUGUCUCCCCACCCAUCCAAAACCAAAAAGACCG